rnacentral:tmRNA from 1 species
GGGGCUGAUUCUGGAUUCGACGGGAUUUGCGAAACCCAAGGUGCAUGCCGAGGGGGGGUUGGCCUCGUAAAAAGCCGCAAAAAAUAGUCGCAAACGACGAAAACUACGCUUUAGCAGCUUAAUAACCUGCUUAGAGCCCUCUCUCCCUAGCCUCCGCUCUUAGGACGGGGAUCAAGAGAGGUCAAACCCAAAAGAGAUCGCGUGGAAGCCCUGCCUGGGGUUGAAGCGUUAAAACUUAAUCAGGCUAGUUUGUUAGUGGCGUGUCCGUCCGCAGCUGGCAAGCGAAUGUAAAGACUGACUAAGCAUGUAGUACCGAGGAUGUAGGAAUUUCGGACGCGGGUUCAACUCCCGCCAGCUCCACCA